ensembl:snRNA U2 U2 spliceosomal RNA
AUCAUUCCUCAGCCUUUUGGCUAAGAGUAAGUGUAGUAUCUGUUCUUACCAGUUUAAAAAAUUAUCGCCAUGGAUUUAGCUCAGUGGCGCCACAGUUUGAUCCCCGGUACCACAAAAAACAAAACAAAAAAUGAUCCAUU